UUUCCAGGGCCCUGUAGAGCAGUAGAAGAGGACUUCUCCAGGGGAAGGGCAAGGCUGUUCUGGGAAGAAAGGGAGAAGGGAUGCGGGGGGGGGGGGGGGGGGGGGGGAUACCCAGGGUGCUGAGACUACCACGGGCCAGACGUUGACAGAGGGUCCAGGGUUGUGGGAGACGUGGGGACAACUGCAACAUACAACUCCUACCGGGAGUUGGGAUGAGAGAUGGAGACAGGGCAACCAAUAGCUGUUACCCAAGCGAGAAUGCGGAAGAGCCACAGUGUUACCGAUACAGGGUUCUUCGGGAGCUGGCCGACAGCCUGUACUGUCAGGGGGCAUCCAGAACUCAAUCAGUUCCAAAGCUCCUGCCGCGCUCCGCUCCAGAGAUGCCCAGAGAUGCCCACAGCUACAGCACAGUGACUUGGGUCCAGAUCCCAUUCCUGCUCAGGGACUUUUUUCUCACCUCUCUGAGCCUGUUUCUCCAUCAGAACAAUGGGACAGACGCCAGUUUAGCUAUUAGAUUGGUUUGGGAGGCUGAGUACAGAGCUUAGAGAGUAGGAGGCACUUCUCUGCCCUCCCAGAGUCCCAGGCCCCCCUGCCUGCACUGCCAACUUUUCUUAGAUAACCUGAUGAAUUCCAGCUCAUCUUAGAAUCAAAAGAUGCUCUUCAGAGUUGUUUCGUUAUCUGGUCUGUAGAAGAAUACCAGAUAAUUAUCCAAGUGCCAAACAUCACUUAACUGUACUCAAAUUGUCAACGUAUACCCCCCACCCCCACUAACACAGAAGCUCCCUGAAGGCAGGCAAAGCAUUAUUCAUUUUUGCAUCUGUCUCCGGUACCCAGCCUAAUGGGUGCCUCCUCCCUACACCCCCCCUCAUCAAGAGAUAUAAUUAGCAUACAGCACCGGGAACGUUGAAGAUGUACAGCAGACCGACUUAACUCAAAUACAUUGUGAAAUGAUUACCACAAAACUCCAGGACACUGUGACAAAGGACCACUCCAACUUGGGUCUCAGUCCCAGAUGUGAGCUGAUCCUUGAGGUCAGAAGGGGAAAGUGGCUCGGAGAGGUUGAGUAUCUCGAAGCAUCACCUACUAGCAAGUAGGGCAUCAGGGAGCACAGACUCCACUCUCCUGGACAGAGGUUAGUGGGGCUCUGGAAUGGGGGGGGGGUCAGACAGGAUU